GAUUGUAUGUUUCCACGCAUCAAAAAAAGUUAAUGUUUGUGCGAGAUUGUGUAAACAGUGUCCUCUUGUGGCGAAAUUUUAUACGGUCUAUGGGCGAAAUGGACCCUUUUUCAAGCCCUCCCAAGUUCCGUUCUCGUUCGUGUGGCAAAUUCCUUAAGCUUCUGCGUAGGAAAGCAAGUUUUCAUAGAAACCAAUAGGACCCGUCAGUUAUUGAUAUAUUCACUUGUGCUUUGACAGAUUGAACACAGACUACCGCUAUCAAGCGACGCCCAUGUACGAUACCGUGUACUGCAUUUAAUUCAUUUCUCAAUAAUCUUGGGGGGAUAAACAGCGUUAUUUUUCCUGACUAAGUAGCCUAAUGGAGGCUACAUUUGCCGCCAAUUACGGAGCCCAUAGCUACAGUUCGACCAAUAAUGUACUUGUAGGUCAACCGAGUUCACACUACAUGCAUGCGCAUAACUAACGAAAUGCUUCCAGGUAAUGCUCUUUGUGCGCCCACCUCCUUGGGUCAUAACGGCGUAGACUGGUCUACUUCUCUCCCGAUGUCACGUUAAGUAGGCUAGCUAGGCUAGCCGUGAUGUAUCGUGCUCUGCAGUCAAGGUUGCCAGGUGCCUCUUUCAUUCCCCUGUCAUUGAGUUAAAAUGUGUAUGCAAUAGGGGAAGUUUUAUUAACAUUAACAUUAGCAAACGAUGGUUAUUGUCAGCAUCCUUCCCGCCGAGUUACUGUCAAUGAUGAAUUUUGGUUGCACGAAACUUUUAUUAUCCAAGAUAUCAGCGACUCCAGGAUGCAGCCCCCAAUCAUUCUACAUUUUGGAAAUCAGAAAUCAAUACCAAAAAUGGACUUUCAUGGUCAUCUUUAACUAAAUUGCGCUGACAUAAUGGAGAAUGGAGUAGCAGAACAUAGAGGCACAUCUUUGUUGAAAAGUUCUGGAUUAAAUGAACCGGUGUUGUGAUAUCAUCUGUGCAGUGUUGAAAUUGGAAUCGCUAGAAGAAAAUCAAGAGUCUUGGGGCCCACCUACGUCUGCUGAUGUGUUCAACAAGGAGAACAAUCUACAGAACAUCUCCUCUGGGACAGGUACAGUUGAAUUGGUUGAAGAGUCUAUUUGAUUGUUAAUUAUGUUGAUUUAAUUAAGGUGGAGGGGAAAACCGUGAGAUCAGCACGGAUCUCCUUGCCUUUGAUGUGGACUGAGCUUGCCUCGGGAGGGGCCUCCUUUGCUCUGUGUGCGUGUGUGUGUGUGUGUGUGUGCGUGUGUGUGUGUGUGUGUGUGUGUGUGUGUGUGUGUGUGUGUGUGCGUGUGUGCGUGCGUGUGUGUGUGUGUGUGUGUGCGUGUGUGUGUGUGUGUGUGUGUGUGUGUGUGCGUGUGUGCGUGUGUGUGUGUGUGUGUGUGUGUGUGUGCGUGUGUGUGUGUGUGUGUGCGUGUGUGUGCGUGUGUGUGUGUGUGUGCGUGUGUGUGUGUGUGUCUGCUUCUGUGUUCUGUAGGACCACAUAUACACCAGCACACUAACUCUUGUUGCAGCCCUGGACAGCCUGUACACACACACACACACACACACAGGCAGACAUGUGGCCAUUCUUGCCCCUGGCUGCACUGGAGGGGAUGGGCCACAAUCGAAUCUUGAGCCGCUAUUGGCUGACAGCCGACCAGCAGCACAGGGGAUUGGUCAGUUCCUCCUGCCGAGCCUCUCUUUGGGAUAUUGACUGAAUCUCACGUGUUACAUGCAGACAAGAAGAAUCACAAUGGACCUAUGGACCAGAUGGGUGCCUGCCAUGUUUUUUUUUCUCAGAGCUUCUGUACGUGUACAUUUACAUGGAGUAUUUAUUUGAAAGGACAAACAAAUGGAAAAUCUUCCAUUUCUUACUGUAAUUGUGUUUGCAUGCUGUAAAAAAUCUAAUGUACAGGUAUUGUAUUUUUGUACAAAAUAAAUGUCAUUACUGAUAAA